rnacentral:miRNA from 1 species
UUAAUCUAGGAAAAUACGGUG